UGCUAAUUGACUGGAAAUCGAUCUCAAUGCUAAAUAAUAGUUUCAGAUUCACCAGGCUUGACGUUCCUAGCCUCCCAGUACCGCAGCAGACUCGCCUCCACAACCGAUGAACACCUACCGGACUUCAAAUCAGAAAAACACCCUUGAGUUAGCCAUUAAGAGAGAUGGGUAUAAGAAUCGAGUUUAAAAUAGAUGAGUAGCAGAGAGAUGAAUAGAUCGCAAGCUCCAGAAGAGGAAUGUCAACCAAGGAUCUGAACCGUUAAGGCUUGUUGUGGCAAAAUUGGGCCUUAAUUUAGUAAGCCCAUAAACUUUCGGGCCUCGCGAGAUAGUACUGUGCGAUCGGGCCGAAAGCGGGAUGGACCACAGGUUAACCUGCGGGAUAUUGAAGACCCGCAAAUAGUCUCCAUUUUUGCCUUCACCUGAAACAACGAGAGAGAGAGAGAGAGAGAGAGAGAGAGAGAGAGAGAGAGAGAGAGAGAGAGAGAGAGAGAGAGAAGAGAGAGAGAGAGAGAGAGCGAUUCGGUCUUAGAUGUUCGCCGACGACAAAUGGAGCUCCGAUGACGGAUAUUUGAAGGUUGAUGAUACUUCCAGACUACUUCCAGACUACUCCCAUGUGUCUUCUAUCUCCAUGAGUGGAGCUUCUUUAAGCCACCGGGAGAAUUAUUCGAACUCACUUUCCACCGAAGACGAGAUCCAGCUCCGGCGAUGGGUUCUUCAGCGACGGUGGGUUUUCUUCUUCUUCUGGAGCUCCUUUGCUUCGAUCCACCACCGGAGCUUCUAUUCUUCUUAGAUCCACUGCCAGAGCUUCUAUUCUUCUAAAAUCCACCACCGUCACUUCGCCUUCGCUGCAUGCAUGGUGAACAAAGAGGUGGCUGGUGAUGACUGUGAAUGCCGGUGUAGGCUACGAUAUAGCACACCGGGGUGUCCGGUCAUUACCACCAGCUGACGUUAUAUAACAAAUUAGUUUUGUGCACUUGGAGCAAGUUGUAAUGGACUACAAGAACAAUAUAUAGCAAAUUUGAUACAUCUUUAAUAGCAGAUGCUUCAUGUAUCUUCAUUAUGUGCACUUAGGUAUGUAGUGGAGCAGCCUGAAGCGUCCUGGAACAGCAUUCAGCAUCAAAAAGCAUCCUGGAGCAGCCUGCAGCGUCAAGAAGCCUCCUGGAGCGGCCUGCAGCGUCAAAAAGCGUACUGAUGCACUCCAUUAGCGUCUGUCCCGCAGGCCGUCCCGUAAAGGAUUGUGCACUUGGCAGGGCGGGAUUGGGCAGCCCUUUUGGAGACCGCAGUCCACGCGGAACUGACCCGCCUUGACCCGUAAAUAUGAGCCCGCUGUAGUACAGGACGGGACGGACCAACCUGUACUGGUAUAUUCUGUUGAGACUUGGAAUUCUCGUCUUAUUAGAGAAUGUUUACCAAGUCUGACCAAAGGUGCAGGAGUAUUCUUUUUGUAACAAUAGAUGACGUGGCAAAGAAGUCUGUGUUAAAAGAAGAUCUACUCGAAAUGAGAUAUUCAAGGAUUAUGUGACGAGAUUUGGGUUUAUCCAAAGGAGUCGUUAGGAUCAUCUAGGUGGUAAUAAAAAGGAGCUGGAGAGGUUUUUAGCUAGUCACGGUUUUGAGAGAUCAGAGAGCUGGGUGUGAGAGUUUCUUAUCAAGCAUAAUCAAGUGUGCAACGAGAGUUGUGUUGCUUAAUUUGAUAGGUUAGAAAAUGAUCAAUGUUGAUUCACAAGCUGCGAAGUCAUAUUAUUCUGAUUAAACAGAUUCGUUGUAAUUUGUUUUAAAGCUUUUCUAAUAAAAUAUUGAAUUUGCGUUA